UAACAAGGUCUCCGUUGGUGAACCAGCGGAGGGAUCAUUACCGAGUUUACAACUCCCAAACCCCUGUGAACAUACCUUAAUGUUGCCUCGGCGGAUCAGCCCGCGCCCCGUAAAACGGGACGGCCCGCCAGAGGACCCAAACUCUAAUGUUUCUUAUUGUAACUUCUGAGUAAAACAAACAAAUAAAUCAAAACUUUCAACAACGGAUCUCUUGGUUCUGGCAUCGAUGAAGAACGCAGCAAAAUGCGAUAAGUAAUGUGAAUUGCAGAAUUCAGUGAAUCAUCGAAUCUUUGAACGCACAUUGCGCCCGCUGGUAUUCCGGCGGGCAUGCCUGUUCGAGCGUCAUUUCAACCCUCAAGCCCCCGGGUUUGGUGUUGGGGAUCGGCUCUGCCUUCUGGCGGUGCCGCCCCCGAAAUACAUUGGCGGUCUCGCUGCAGCCUCCAUUGCGUAGUAGCUAACACCUCGCAACUGGAACGCGGCGCGGCCAUGCCGUAAAACCCCAACUUCUGAAUGUUGACCUCGGAUCAGGUAGGAAUACCCGCUGAACUUAAGCAUAUCAA
rnacentral:rRNA from 1 species